rnacentral:rRNA from 1 species
GAUGAACGCUGGCGGCGUGCCUAAUACAUGCAAGUCGAGCGAACAGACGAGGAGCUUGCUCCUCUGACGUUAGCGGCGGACGGGUGAGUAACACGUGGAUAACCUACCUAUAAGACUGGGAUAACUUCGGGAAACCGGAGCUAAUACCGGAUAAUAUAUUGAACCGCAUGGUUCAAUAGUGAAAGACGGUUUUGCUGUCACUUAUAGAUGGAUCCGCGCCGCAUUAGCUAGUUGGUAAGGUAACGGCUUACCAAGGCAACGAUGCGUAGCCGACCUGAGAGGGUGAUCGGCCACACUGGAACUGAGACACGGUCCAGACUCCUACGGGAGGCCGCAGUAGGGAAUCUUCCGCAAUGGGCGAAAGCUUGACGGAGCAACGCCGCGUGAGUGAUGAAGGUCUUCGGAUCGUAAAACGCUGUUAUUAGGGAAGAACAAAUGUGUAAGUAACUAUGCACGUCUUGACGGUACCUAAACAGAAAGCCACGGCUAACUACGUG